rnacentral:rRNA from 1 species
UGGGGAAUUUUUGGACAAUGGGGGAAACCCUGAUCCAGCCAUUCCGCGUGAGUGAAGAAGGCCUUCGGUUGUAAAGCUCUUUUGUUCCGGAACGAAACGGUUGGCGUGAAUAUCGCCGACUACUGACGGUACCGGAAGAAUAAGCACCGGCUAACUACGUGCCAGCAGCCGCGGUAAUACGUAGGGUGCGAGCGUUAAUCGGAAUUACUGGGCGUAAAGCGUGCGCAGGCGGUUUUGUAAGCCAGAUGUGAAAUCCCCGGGCUUAACCUGGGAAUGGCAUUUGGGACUGCAAGGCUUGAGUGCGGCAGAGGAGACUGGAAUUCCCGGUGUAGCAGUGAAAUGCGUAGAUAUCGGGAGGAAUACCGAUGGCGAAGGCAGGUCUCUGGGCGUGACACUGACGCUCAUGCACGAAAGCGUGGGGAGCGAAACAGGAUUAGAUACCCUGGUAGUCCACGCCCUAAACCGAUGUCGACUGGUUGUUGGGGGUA